rnacentral:rRNA from 1 species
GGGGAAUAUUGCACAAUGGGGGAAACCCUGAUGCAGCCAUGCCGCGUGUGUGAAGAAGGCCUUCGGGUUGUAAAGCACUUUCAGUAGGGAGGAAGGUAGUGUAGUUAACACCUGCAUUAUUUGACGUUACCUACAGAAGAAGCACCGGCUAACUCCGUGCCAGCUAGCCGCGGUAAUACGGAGGGUGCGAGCGUUAAUCGGAAUUACUGGGCGUAAAGCGCAUGCAGGCGGCCUGUUAAGUCAGAUGUGAAAGCCCGGGGCUUAACCUCGGAAUUGCAUUUGAAACUGGCAGGCUAGAGUCUUGUAGAGGGGGUAGAAUUUCAGGUGUAGCGGUGAAAUGCGUAGAGAUCUGAAGGAAUACCAGUGGCGAAGGCGGCCCCCUGGACAAAGACUGACGCUCAGAUGCGAAAGCGUGGGGAGCAAACAGGAUUAGAUACCCUGGUAG